ACAAAGGUCCUUUUCAGGGCCACACAUUCCUUCUAAAGACUGUGA
rfam:Monodelphis domestica chromosome 2, whole genome shotgun sequence.